rnacentral:lncRNA from 1 species
AUAAUUAUAUAAAGGGGAAUAUUUGAUCAAUCUAGCUCUGCCAAAUGUGUAUGUAUAUUUAGUUGAAAUAGAAAUUUUAUUAAGAAAAAAGAAAGAAAAAUCUAGACCCAUGAGUGCACAAGCGCGACUGAGGGCCGAGCCUCAUUAAAACCUCUUCAAGAAAGAGAAAAAAAGAGUGUCCGUCUAGAAAAAAAAAAAACUGGUGGAGAGUGGAAAAGGCCCACCUUAGGAGCUCCGGCCUAACCAUCACCCCUAGGGGGCCCGGCUCACCCAAACCAAAAACAACGAAAAAGAAACCCAAUAAGGGGAGAACAAACCAAAUGCCCGAAAGGCAAAACUCGGGCAGAGCCAGCACACCAAAAGCAGACAGGACAACAACACCCCAACCAAGAAGCAUCCCUGCACGUCCAAACGAAAAGGCUAAGAGCAACAUCCACCUAAAACCAAAAAACAGAGAAGUAGACACAGAAAAAACAACAAAACAAAGAAACAAGCACACCAAAACACAAAAGCAAGAGAGAGACCCCCAUAGGAAAGAUCAAAAACAGUUACUCAAGUAACCGCCACAACAUCCAAGACAGUACACCGCUGAACCCACAUCCAAACACAACACCAUCCUAUCCAGGUCUCCCAAGAUCUGUAACGACCCAAAGAGGUGCGCCAAGCUAAGGCUUUAAGGUGCAACAACAAGCUGAUACAAUUCAAUCCGCUCAGAUCCAAUUCUCCGUUAUGGGUGAAUUUCCUAAUGCAUUGGCCUUUAUAAUCAAACUCAAACCCAUACAGAAUAGGUCUUAAAAAUUCUUGACCACCCUUAAAAAUUCUCGAUAAAAAGGUCAUCUUCACGGGAUGAACACUUUCAGAGGUUAUCCAAAAUGUUCCCACGAGGUUUUCCAUGCUCAUGAAGAUCAACGAAAUCCUCAACGGAGCAGAGACCAAAACUUUAACAGCCGAACCAACCAAACACAUCAGAGAAAGAUAUUAGGCAAUGCAAUGAAAACACUCCCCAUAACAUCUACUGGACAAAUUGCAUCAAAGAAAUUGCUCACCAAGGUGUUGCACCCAGAACAUUAAACUCAUAGCACCACAGGGGCAGCAAAACCAGAAGAGACCGGGAUAACAACCACAACAAAACACCACAUCAGGGUCAACCGGUGGAUCGUCCAGCAUGAGUGGAGUACUCAAUAACCAGCAAUCGAUCAAACAAUGACGACCAAACUCCCCGCAGCACAACCAAACAAGCAAAGAACAAAGACGAGCAGUGCAAAGAGAAGAGAAGAAGAGAACAUAACCUGAAAUGAGAAACGCC